GGGGGGGGGGGGGGGGGGGGGGGGGGGGGGGGGGGGGGGGGGGGGGGGGGGGGGGGUGCGGGUGGGACGUUGGGGGGGGGCGGGUGGGUGAGAGGGGGGGGGCCUACCUGUGAGACUGGGAUAACUUGGGGGAAGCGGAGGUACUCCGGGAUACCGUGUGGAACCGCAUGGGUCAGCGGUGAGAGGCGGUCUUUCUGCCACUUCUUGAUGGAUCCGCGCCGCAUUAGCUAGUGGGUCAGGUAACGGCUUACCCAGGGAACGAUGCGUCGCCGACCUGAGAGGGUGAUCGGCCACACUGGAACUGAGACACGGUCCAGACUCCUACGGGAGGCAGCAGUAGGGAAUCUUCCGCAAUGGGCGAAAGCCGGACGGAGCAACGCCGCGUGAGUGAAGAAGGUCUUCGGAUCGUAAAACUCUGUUAUUAGGGAAGAACAAAUGUGUAAGUAACUAUGCACGUCUUGACGGUACCUAAUCAGAAAGCCACGGCUAACUACGUG
rnacentral:rRNA from 1 species